rnacentral:rRNA from 1 species
AAUGGAGAGUUUGAUCCUGGCUCAGGAUGAACGCUGGCGGCGUGCCUAAUACAUGCAAGUCGAACGCACUGAUUUUAUCAGUGAGUGGCGAACGGGUGAGUAAUACAUAAGUAACCUGCCCUCAUGAGGGGGAUAACUAUUAGAAAUGAUAGCUAAGACCGCAUAGGUGAAGGGGUCGCAUGACCGCUUCAUUAAAUAUCCGUAAGGAUAGCAGGAGGAUGGACUUAUGGCGCAUUAGCUGGUUGGUGAGGUAACGGCUCACCAAGGCGACGAUGCGUAGCCGACCUGAGAGGGUGGACGGCCACACUGGGACUGAGACACGGCCCAGACUCCUACGGGAGGCAGCAGUAGGGAAUUUUCGGCAAUGGGGGAAACCCUGACCGAGCAACGCCGCGUGAGGGAAGAAGUAUUUCGGUAUGUAAACCUCUGUUAUAAAGGAAGAACGGUAUGAAUAGGAAAUGAUUCAUAAGUGACGGUACUUUAUGAGAAAGCCACGGCUAACUACGUGCCAGCAGCCGCGGUAAUACGUAGGUGGCGAGCGUUAUCCGGAAUCAUUGGGCGUAAAGAGGGAGCAGGCGGCAAUAGAGGUCUGCGGUGAAAGCCUGAAGCUAAACUUCAGUAAGCCGUGGAAACCAAAUAGCUAGAGUGCAGUAGAGGAUCGUGGAAUUCCAUGUGUAGCGGUGAAAUGCGUAGAUAUAUGGAGGAACACCAGUGGCGAAGGCGACGAUCUGGGCUGCAACUGACGCUCAGUCCCGAAAGCGUGGGGAGCAAAUAGGAUUAGAUACCCUAGUAGUCCACGCCGUAAACGAUGAGUACUAAGUGUUGGGGGUCAAACCUCAGUGCUGCAGUUAACGCAAUAAGUACUCCGCCUGAGUAGUACGUUCGCAAGAAUGAAACUCAAAGGAAUUGACGGGGGCCCGCACAAGCGGUGGAGCAUGUGGUUUAAUUCGAAGCAACGCGAAGAACCUUACCAGGUCUUGACAUACCUCUAAAGGCUCUAGAGAUAGAGAGAUAGCUAUAGGGGAUACAGGUGGUGCAUGGUUGUCGUCAGCUCGUGUCGUGAGAUGUUGGGUUAAGUCCCGCAACGAGCGCAACCCUUGUCGCUAGUUACCAUCAUUAAGUUGGGGACUCUAGCGAGACUGCCUCUGCAAGGAGGAGGAAGGCGGGGAUGACGUCAAAUCAUCAUGCCCCUUAUGACCUGGGCUACACACGUGCUACAAUGGACGGAUCAAAGGGAAGCGAAGCCGCGAGGUGGAGCGAAACCCAAAAACCCGUUCUCAGUUCGGACUGCAGUCUGCAACUCGACUGCACGAAGUUGGAAUCGCUAGUAAUCGCGAAUCAGAAUGUCGCGGUGAAUACGUUCUCGGGCCUUGUACACACCGCCCGUCACACCAUGAGAGUUGGUAACACCCGAAGCCGGUGGCUUAACCGCAAGGAGAGAGCUGUCUAAGGUGGGACUGAUGAUUAGGGUGAAGUCGUAACAAGGUAUCCCUACGGGAACGUGGGGAUGGAUCACCUCCUUUCUAGGGAGA